rnacentral:rRNA from 1 species
ACGAACGCUGGCGGCAUGCCUAACACAUGCAAGUCGAACGAGACCUUCGGGUCUAGUGGCGCACGGGUGCGUAACGCGUGGGAACCUGCCCUUAGGUUCGGAAUAACUCCCCGAAAGGGGUGCUAAUACCGGAUAAUGUCUUCGGACCAAAGAUUUAUCGCCUUUGGAUGGGCCCGCGUUGGAUUAGCUAGUUGGUAGGGUAAAAGCCUACCAAGGCGACGAUCCAUAGCUGGUCUGAGAGGAUGAUCAGCCACACUGGGACUGAGACACGGCCCAGACUCCUCGGGGGGGGAGGAGGGGGGAAAUUUGGACAAUGGGCGAAAGCCUGACCCAGCAAUGCCGGGGGAGUGAUGAAGGCCUUAGGGUUGUAAAGCUCUUUUACCCGGGAUGAUAAUGACAGUACCGGGAAAAUAAGCCCCGGCUAACCCCGG